rnacentral:rRNA from 1 species
UACACUCCUGCGGGAGGCAGCAGUGGGGAAUAUUGCACAAUGGGCGCAAGCCUGAUGCAGCCAUGCCGCGUGUAUGAAGAAGGCCUUCGGGUUGUAAAGUACUUUCAGCGGGGAGGAAGGCGAUAAGGUUAAUAACCUUGUCGAUUGACGUUACCCGCAGAAGAAGCACCGGCUAACUCCGUGCCAGCAGCCGCGGUAAUACGGAGGGUGCAAGCGUUAAUCGGAAUUACUGGGCGUAAAGCGCACGCAGGCGGUCUGUCAAGUCGGAUGUGAAAUCCCCAGGCUCAACCUGGGAACUGCAUUCGAAACUGGCAGGCUAGAGUCUUGUAGAGGGGGGUAGAAUUCCAGGUGUAGCGGUGAAAUGCGUAGAGAUCUGGAGGAAUACCGGUGGCGAAGGCGGCCCCCUGGACAAAGACUGACGCUCAGGUGCGAAAGCGUGGGGAGCAAACAGGAUUAGAAACCCCAGUAGUCCCAUGAU